UUUUUGGAUAUUAUAUUUCUAGAAAUCAUUUUAAAAUUAUCGCAAAUAUUAAUAUUUAUCUAGUUUAAGGAACAAAAUUUUUAGUAUCACUAUAAAAGAAUAGAGUUUAAACAUCAUUCUGUUAACACGUGUGAAAUGAAGAUCGGAAUAAUCUUUUUGGAAGUUCUCCUCAUUUUGUGCAUCGGAUAUUUCCGUUCCGGAGAAUGCAGGAAAUGUAAAUGCUCAGAGGUUCCAAGCUGGAAAGACUUCAAGCAGCUAAAGAGAGUGGAAAGAGAUUCAGAGGUUCCAAGCUGGAAAGACUUCAAGCCGCUAAAGAGAGUGGAAAGAGCAUGUUAUUUAUUCAUAUGCAGGAAAAAUGAUGAUACUAAUGAACUGGAAUAUCUAAAAACCAGGAGAUUUCGCGCCUUAGAAAGAUUAUAUGGAAAUUCAUUUGAAGAUUU